rnacentral:rRNA from 1 species
UACGGAGGGUGCAAGCGUUAUCCGGAUUUACUGGGUUUAAAGGGUGCGUAGGUGGGCAGGUAAGUCAGUGGUGAAAUCUCCGAGCUUAACUCGGAAACUGCCAUUGAUACUAUCUGUCUUGAAUAUCCUGGAGGUAAGCGGAAUAUGUCAUGUAGCGGUGAAAUGCUUAGAUAUGACAUAGAACACCAAUUGCGAAGGCAGCUUACUACGGGAGUUAUUGACACUGAGGCACGAAAGCGUGGGGAUCAAACAGG